rnacentral:rRNA from 1 species
GUGUCAGCAGCCGCGGUAAUACGUAGGGGGCAAGCGUUGUCCGGAUUCACUGGGCGUAAAGGGCGCGUAGGCGGUUACGAAAGUCAGGCGUGAAAGUUCACGGCUCAACUGUGGCAGUGCGUCUGAUACUUCGUUGACUUGAGGUCGGUAGAGGUAGAUGGAACAAGCGGUGUAGCGGUGAAAUGCACAGAUAUCGCUUGGAACGCCGGUGGCGAAGGCGAUCUACUGGGCCGUACCUGACGCUGAUGCGCGAAAGCUAGGGGAGCGAACCGGAUUAGAUACCCCCGUAGUCC